UACGUAGGUGACAAGCGUUGUCCGGAAUUAUUGGGCGUAAAGAGCUCGUAGGCGGUUGGUCGCGUCGGCUGUGAAAACCCGGAGCUCAACUCCGGGCCUGCAGUCGAUACGGGCCGACUUGAGUGUUGCAGGGGAGACUGGAAUUCCUGGUGUAGCGGUGAAAUGCGCAGAUAUCAGGAGGAACACCGGUGGCGAAGGCGGGUCUCUGGGCAACAACUGACGCUGAGGAGCGAAAGCGUGGGGAGCGAACAGG
rnacentral:rRNA from 1 species